GUAACGGAGGAGCACGAAGGUUUGCUAAUGACGGUCGGACAUCGUCAGGUUAGUGCAAUGGUAUAAGCAAGCUUAACUGCGAGACAGACAAGUCGAGCAGGUGCGAAAGCAGGUCAUAGUGAUCCGGUGGUUCUGAAUGGAAGGGCCAUCGCUCAACGGAUAAAAGGUACUCCGGGGAUAACAGGCUGAUACCGCCCAAGAGUUCAUAUCGACGGCGGUGUUUGGCACCUCGAUGUCGGCUCAUCACAUCCUGGGGCUGAAGUAGGUCCCAAGGGUAUGGCUGUUCGCCAUUUAAAGUGGUACGCGAGCUGGGUUUAGAACGUCGUGAGACAGUUCGGUCCCUAUCUGCCGUGGGCGUUGGAGAAUUGAGAGGGGCUGCUCCUAGUACGAGAGGACCGGAGUGGACGCAUCACUGGUGUACCAGUUGUCUCGCCAGAGGCACAGCUGGGUAGCUAAAUGCGGAAGAGAUAAGUGCUGAAAGCAUCUAAGCACGAAACUUGCCUCAAGAUGAGUUCUCCCUGACUUAAAGUCAGUAAGGGUUGUUGGAGACGACGACGUAGAUAGGCUGGGUGUGUAAGCGGUGUGAGCCGUUGAGCUAACCAGUACUAAUUGCCCGAGAGGCUUAACUAUACAAC
rnacentral:rRNA from 1 species